rnacentral:piRNA from 1 species
AUCACAGCAAUAGAAACCCAACCUAAGA